ACGUACGCGGGGGUUCCAUUAUAGCAACCAAAGUAUUCGUAUGCAGCCACUGCGGAAAGCUACUAGCACACAAGUGGAAGCUGGCAGAUCAUGUCAGGACUCACACCGGGGAUAAACUUUUGAAUGCACCGUGUGACACAAACGUUUGGCUUCGAAACGGUCGCUGACAUAUCACAUGGGGAUGCAUAGUUCGUGAAAAAGCGUUGCAAGUUUGAGUUAAUACUUUGUGGUAGAUAACAACAGAGACAUUACGAAUUGUUGAAGCCAGGUCCGGCAUCGCACUGGGAAAAAAAAACUUUUGAGUGCUCAGUGUGCUGACACGGUCGUGCAAGUGUGAAUUUUCAGACAUGUCUAUGGAAGUUAAAGACAGUUGUUAACUAGUUACCUAUAUGCAAAAGUGUUUUUGAACGUGUCGAUCAAGACCAAGUUUUAACUGUUGACAGCCAUAAGAUCAUCUUAUUACAAUCUAGGUCAUUUUCCGUUGUGUUAUUUGCAAGGACGUUAUCAGCAAUCUCUUAUCGCUUAUAAAACUAGUCUUUGUUUUGCUCGUGUAUUUCUUUUGUGUCAAAGAUGCAAUGGUUUGGCAAAGGGUUCCAGUGGCAUCGUCAACUGGCGGCGUCAGCAUCAACGUGUUCAGGUGUCCCGUUCGUGACCGCAUGACUGCCAGUAAAUGGGCACUGGAUCGUCACUUGAAGACUCACUCUGCUGAUAAACCCUACGUCUGCCACAUUUGCUCGAAGACCUUCAAGUAUAAGGACUCGUGGUCAAACCAUACGAAGAUGCACAGCAUGAAUGAGUCCUUGUAGAAAGGCGUUUCAAUUUCAUCCGAAAUGUUUUUGGAUUAUAGUGCUUUUGUUUGUGUAUUUUUUGUUGUUUUUUUUUUUGUGUGUGUGGAAAACGGUCGUAUUCUUUACGAUUUGUACUUUUCAUAUGACCCUUUCCAAAUUUUGUAUAAAAUAUGAAUAUAAGUUAUCAAUAAGUAGAUAUCUUUAUGAAUAUAAGUUAUCAAUAAGUAAAUAUCUUAAUCCAUA